CCCUUAGAUGUUCUGGGCCGCACGCGCGCUACACUGAUGCAUUCAACGAGCCUAUCCUUGACCGACAGGUCCGGGUAAUCUUUGAAUCUGCAUCGUGACGGGGAUAGAUUAUUGCAAUUGUUAAUCUUGAACGAGGAAUUCCUAGUAAACGCGAGUCAUCAGCUCGCAUUGAUUACGUCCCUGCCCUUUGUACACACCGCCCGUCGCACCUACCGAUUGAAUGGUUCGGUGAAGAUCUCGGACUUCGAUAUUUAUUCUUUAUUGAGUUUAUAUUGUGGGAAGUUAUCUAAACCUCAUCAUUUAGAGGAAGGUGAAGUCGUAACA
rnacentral:rRNA from 1 species